CAGGCCCUGUCAUUGUAUGAGCCCCAUAACCUCUCACGGGACUGAAGGAAAAAGAACGUGCUGGUGAUGAUUCUGUGAUGAUGUCUGUUGGGUGACAUUUAUAAACACGUCAUCUGCUUUGACAGGAACAAUGAGCUACAAGGAUUUUCCAAGGAGACACUUCUAGGCAGUGUAAAAGCAAACCUGACGGACGAGGGAGCCAACAGGCAGCUGAUAGCCCAGCAUUUAGCAGCCUAUCAAGAAAACAAAAGCCUCUCAUCAGUUCAAGCUCUUCUUAUGUUCUGUUACAGGUACAGGUAAGGUGGAGGGAUGGAGGCCCCACUUGGAGGGGUGAGGCCACCUUAGAUGAUCCCACAUCACAACUGUGGCUCUGCUACACUUCACAAAUGAAUCCUUUCUCUUCCUUACAACUAUAAAUACCCCAGCAUAUUCAUUCCCAGUAGCUUUUGCCAAUUCUGGGAGCAGGGUGCAGAGUUAAGGUUGUUGUGGCGUGUACCUUUACUCUGGUGUUCAGAGGUAUGACUUUUGCUCAAACUUGGUCUUUUGGAAGGACAUGAGAUACCAAUGGACAACCUCAACUCUGCAUUAAAGCUUUUUUUUUUCUCAAUGAUUUUUUUACUUGGGGUGAUAUAUUCUGGAUAAGCUUAAUUCCCAAGGUCAAAACCUUUUGUACCAUAGUUAUGACAUUUUGAUUUGCAUAAGCACCUUGUCUGCACAGUACUUUCUCUGCAAAUUUUGAAACAGUAUUGUAUAAGGGGUAA